UACGAAGGUGGCUAGCGUUGUUCGGAAUUACUGGGCGUAAAGCGCGUGUAGGCGGGCUUUUAAGUCAGGGGUGAAAUGCCAAGGCUCAACCUUGGAACUGCCUUUGAUACUGGAAGUCUUGAGUCCGGGAGAGGUGAGUGGAACUGCGAGUGUAGAGGUGAAAUUCGUAGAUAUUCGCAAGAACACCAGUGGCGAAGGCGGCUCACUGGCCCGGAACUGACGCUGAGACGCGAAAGCGUGGGGAGCAAACAGG
rnacentral:rRNA from 1 species